rnacentral:rRNA from 1 species
CCUACGGGAGGCAGCAGUGGGGAAUAUUGCACAAUGGGGGAAACCCUGAUGCAGCGACGCCGCGGGAGUGAAGAAGUAUUUCGGUACGUCAAGCUCUAUCAGCAGGGAAGAAAAAAAGUCCUUUGGACUUUGGACGGUACAUGACUAAGAAGCCCCGGCUAACUACGUGCCAGCAGCCGCGGUAAUACGUAGGGGGCAAGCGUUAUCCGAAUUUACUGGGUGUAAAGGGAGCGUAGACGGCAGCGCAAGUCUGGAGUGAAAUGCCGGGGCCCAACCCCGGAACUGCUUUGGAAACUGUGCAGAUGGAGUGCAGGAGAGGUAAGCGGAAUUCCUGGUGUAGCGGUGACAUGCGUAGAUAUUAGGAGGAACACCAGUGGCGAAGGCGGCUUACUGGACUGUAACUGACGUUGAGGCUCGAAAGCGUGGGGAGCAAACAGGAUUAGAUACCCGGGUAGUC